UGCACGGUGGAGCAGUUGGUAGCACUGUUGCUACCAAGAAGGUCCUGGGUUCGAUUCCCGGUCGGGGGUCUUUCUGCAU